AGUUCUCCAGAAGGCAUUUAUAGAAAGAGCUUUGAGGAAAAUGUGAUUGUGUUCCUUUUAUUUCUCUCUAUUUUAGCCUUAUUAAAAGGAGAAACUAUGCAUCUGAAAAGAAAAACGUGAAGAGGAGACCCCGAUGCCAUUACUUUGGAGCGCUGAGAGGAAGAGAGGAAGGAGUACAAUGAUGAACCACCUACAAUAAAUGCAUUGAACACCUCUGUUUGGUCAGCAUCAGAUGUUGGCAGCCCACAGUUGUGUCCCAAACCUUCCUCCAUUGCUGGGUACAAGAAGACGAUGUUAAAGUAGAAUUUCUGUGAAGCUGCUUACAAUUGAAGGAAAACCUCUUUCUCCUGACCUCCUGUGAUUUGAACACGGUGUACAUCGCCUGAGUCUCACUGUUUCAGACAGGGUCUCCCAAUUAUCCUCAGGUCAAAGCAGAAACCUUGUUCAGUCACCACAGCUCUCUCAGAGCAAAGAAAGUUCCAGUUAGAGCCAGAAGAAAUUGUUUCAAAUAACAUCUUCUUAUGGAUACAUCUUCUGCCGCUUCCUCAUUUUCUUAGAGCACAGACUGCCAACGAUAUAUAUAAAAAAAGAACUCUCCACAAAGCAUAAAUCACAGGCAGCCCUGCAAGUGGAGCAAACUGUUAAUGCAGUGUGAUAGAAGAAGAAUGUAACUGAUCCAUUUACUCAUUGCCCUACCCUGUCUUUAUGAAAGCUGAAUUAGCUCAAUGUUGACAAAGGAUUAAAAAACUUAGUAGUGACAUUCCUCGCAGUAAGCAAAAUCUCCCUCAUUCCACAUUUCACACUGAAGGCACAGUCUUCAAAAAUAUUCACUUCUUUGUUUCCCACUAUAGAAUGCAAACAUGGCUUUCUUCCAUGGUUUCCUAUGAAGCGAAAUGUGAGCACAAUGUCUCUAUCCCACGGAACAACUGGUACUAUUAUCUGCUCUGCUGAAAGCACUGUAUCACUAACGGACUGAAAAACAUAUUUAUUUUAUCAACCAUGACAAGCAACAGGAUUUUUUUCUUUGCUACAUUAUGGGUAUAUAACAAGAAGGAAAUUCAGCUCAAGAUCUUUAGAGAGAGCUCAGAUUUCUGCAAGUACAACACAAUUAUUAGCCAACAUUUACAAAUCACACAUAAACAGAGCACUGCUCUAGGCCAGAUCCUAAAACUUGAGACCUCAGCAAGACAAAACAAAUUGAGGACUCAGAGACAGCUGAAUCAACACCAGAUGGGUAUUUAAUUAGAUGGCUGAAGCUGUUCACAGCCCCGUGGGCUGCAGUGCUGCAGCCCUGCCUGUCCUGACCUCCCUCUGGCCGCCUCAGUAAGUGACCCUUUGGGAACAGACUGAUAGUCAACGCUAUUUUCCUUCUCCUUCCAGUAGUACCUGCUGGAGAAAAACGCCAUUCAUAUAGUUGGCAAGCUUUUCUAGCUAUAUGUGUUUUUCUAUGGCUACUAGUUACUACAAGAAUAGGUUUGAUGUGGAAGUCUUGUGGCAUAUAUCACCAGGCAAAGGUAUGGACUUAAAGGAUGGUUUGAGACAGUGUUACAAUGGAAAAUUCUGUUCAUUUUCCCUUUCCUCAAGUAGAUGUGAACUUUACUGGUAGGUGUACAGGUUACAAGAAAGCAAGCAUUUGUAAAAAUGUUCCACUGGAAUUAAUAAUAAUCCCAGCAACAAUAAUCAGUUAGAGAAUCAAGAGGAACAAAAAGAAUACAAAGGUUAACUUUCUUAUCACUGUCCUAAAAACCUUAGACAAUAUGUUUAGAAUAUGGAAAGUUGCACCAGUUUUCCUUUUUUCCAAGAUGCCUCCCUACCAUAAUGACUUUUUUUUUUUUAAUAAUUAGGUACAUGCACGAUGCAACUUGAAAACUUGCUCUUUUAAGCAGAUAUGUAGAUUGCUCACUUCUGUGUUACUUGGGAUUACCCUAACAUAUUAGAGGCCGCAUCAAGAAAUGAUCCUGAUACUGUACCAUUGCCUUCACUAAAGCAGGUGAUAAGACAUGGCCAUCUUGUAGAACUAACAGAUUACUUUAUUAAGCAGGAACUCAGCUCAGUGACAUGAAUGUAUGUUCAGAGACAGAUGUGAUAUAAAAAGGAGAAAGUGCAACACUGGUUAACUUCUUGCCAAGUCUAUAUUAGUUGUGUUUAUGUAUAAGGUCUGUACCAAACGUCAACAAAGUUUUUCUCUUGUUAUGUCUAAUUUACAAGACAAGAAAGUGUGUGUGCUGCUUCCCUGGGCUCUUUCUCAUAUAAUGGAAAUGAACAGUGUU
ensembl:lncRNA